UACGAAAGGAGCAAGUGUUAUUCAGAUUAACUGGGCGUAAAGGGCACGUAGGUGGUUUGUUUAUGUGUAUUAUUAAAUUAUAAAGCAUAACUUUAUAAUGUAGUAUAAACAGCAAAACUAGAGUUAGGUAGAGAGUAGUAGAAUUUCUAAUGUAAAGGUGAAAUUCGUAGAUAUUCGGAAGAACACCAGUGGCGAAGGCGACUUACUGGACACAUAUUGACGCUGAGGUGCGAAAGCGUGGGGAGCAAACAGG
rnacentral:rRNA from 1 species